rnacentral:tRNA from 1 species
AAAAAGUUAGUUAAUUUUAUAACAUUGAUAUGUCAAAUCAAAAUUAUGAUAUCAUACUUUUUA